GGUACCACAGAGACCUUGUUACUUUAUUUACAUAGUUCAAUUUCAUUUUAUACCCCACCAAGACCAUAAAAAAAGCCUGUCCUUUCAAGAUAGAACAUUUCUAAGGUUGUAUUCUGAGACAAUUCAAUACAUUUCCAUUUCAUGGAUAAUAUGUAUGGUCACCAACGCUCACUAACUUUUUCAUGUUUUUAUGGGAAAAAACUUCAUAAACUCAUGGAUUAUUCUUUAGAGGCGAAAAACGACUGAAGGAUUUGUUAACAGCAUUAAAGAUUAAUUAAAGGCAACUAAAACUGCAUUUUUGA